GCACCGGUGGUGUAAGAACACGCGUCAAAGUCAUUGUCGUUGUUUCGAUACUUGAUCAUGACGGAGUCGGGGUUCGAUUCCCCGUCGGUGCC